rnacentral:rRNA from 1 species
ACUGCUCAGUAACACGUGGCUAACCUGCCCUUGGGACGAGAUCACCCCCGGGAAACUGGGGCUAAUCCUCGAUAGGUGAAGAACUCUGGAAUGAGUCUUCGCCCAAACACCAUUUGGAUCAUGCUCCCAGGUGGCGCCCAAGGAUGGGGCCGCGACCGAUCAGGUUGUUGGUGAGGUAAUGGCCCACCAAGCCUAUAACCGGUGCGGGCCGUGAGAGCGGGAGCCCGGAGAUGGGCACUGAGACAAGGGCCCAGGUCCUACGGGGCGCAGCAGUCGCGAAAACUUUGCAAUACACGAAAGUGUGACAGGGUUAUCCCGAGUGCCGACCGCUGAGGUUGGCUUUUACCCAGUCUAGAAAGCUGGGGGAAUAAGGAGAGGGCAAGUCUGGUGUCAGCCGCCGCGGUAAUACCAGCUCUCCGAGUGGUGUGGACGUUUAUUGGGCCUAAAGCAUCCGUAGCUGGCCGAACAAGUCCCCUGUUAAACCCACCGAUUUAAUCGUUGGCUUGCGGGGGAUACCGUCCGGCUAGGGGACGAGAGAGGCAGACGGUAUUCCCGGGGUAGGGGUGAAAUCCUAUAAUCCCGAGAAGACCACCAGUGGCGAAGGCUGUCUGCUAGAGCGCGCCCGACGGUGAGGGAUGAAAGCUGGGGGAGCGAACCGGAUUAGAUACCCGGGUAGUCCCAGCUGUAAACGAUGCAGACUAGGUGUUUGGACGGCCACGUGCCGUUCUAGUGCCGCAGGGAAGCUGUUAAGUCUGCCGCCUGGGGAGUACGAUCGCAAGAUUGAAACUUAAAGGAAUUGGCGGGGGAGCAC